rnacentral:lncRNA from 1 species
GGCUCACAUCCAUUUAAGUCUUUGAGACAGUCCAGGCCUACCUACUUAAGUAUGGCACAGCUCACAGUGGCUGCAUCCUCCUAUGGCAACCUUCAUCCAAUACAGCCACAGACAUGCUGAAAGGACAUCUGACGGUAACAGCUCUUCAACCAAGAGUCCAUAUUUCCAGACAGGGCCUUCCACUGGACUGUGACUUGAUGAUUUGGUUUGGCUUGCUGACUGGUGAGCCCCAGGGACUCUCUCAUCUCUGCCUCUCCAGUGCUGAAAUUUCUGGGACAUCCCUGGCUAUUUCAUCUGGGCUGUAGAGAUUGGACUCAUGUCCUUAUGUCUGCAAG